rnacentral:rRNA from 1 species
UUAGCUUUUUAAUUGAAAGCUCGUAUGAAUGGUUGAACAAAAGAAAUACUGUCUCUUUUUUAUUUUUUGAAUUUAACUUUUAAGUGAAAAGGCUUAAAUUUUUCAAGGGGGACGAUAAGACCCUAUAAAGCUUUAUAAAUAAAUAGUGAUUUUAUGAAUUAAGAAUAAAAAAAAUAUCUAUUUAUUUAUUAUGUUGGGGCGACACAGAUAUAAAUUAAAGCAACUAUCAGAGAAAAAAACAUAUUAUAAGUGAACAAGAUGGUCCUUAGUAAAGAUUAAAAGACAAAGUUACUUUAGGGAUAACAGCGUUAUUCUUUUUGAGAGUUCAUAUCGAAAAAAGAGUUUGCGACCUCGAUGUUGAAUCAUAAAAUCUUUAUAGUGCAGCAGCUGUAAGAGAGGGCU